CAGUCCAUCCUAAUUCCUGCUGGUCACAUUGUACCUUCCAGGUUUCGCUGGUGGACCAAAGCAAAGUAGAAACCCCCCCCUGGUGGCUGUGGCGCAUCCGUGGGCUCGCAGCCAGCCGGGGUCUCCAGACACCA
ensembl:snoRNA